rnacentral:rRNA from 1 species
GGACCCGACUGCUAUCAAAGUGGGGCUAACCCAUGCGAGUCAACAUAGCAAUAUGUGGCAUACGGCUCAUUAACACGUAGUCAACAUGCCCAGGGGACGUGGAUAACCUCGGGAAACUGAGGAUAAACCGCGAUAGGUCAUCACUUCUGGAAUGGGUAAUGACUUAAAUCUAUAUGGCCCCUGGAUUGGACUGCGGCCGAUCAGGCUGUUGGUGAGGUAAUGGCCCACCAAACCUGUAACCGGUACGGGCUCUGAGAGGAGGAGCCCGGAGAUGGGCACUGAAACAAGGGCCCAGGCCCUAUGGGGCGCACCAGGCGCGAAACCUCUGCAAUAGGCGAAAGCUUGACAGGGUUACUCUGAGUGAUUUCCGUUAAGGAGAUCUUUUGGCACCUCUAAAAAUGGUGCAAAAUAAGGGGUGGGCAAGUCUGGUGU